ACAUGGCAACAUCGCAUGUCCCGUCGACUUUCACAAUCGAGCAAUCGAGCCGAUGGAAAAUUUUUUGUGGAUCAUAGUGAUCGUUAAAAAAUUAUAAUAUGGUGACCACGUUGCGAGUGUGAGUGUCGGGUAAAACCUAAAACUGUAUAAAAGUCGUUCUAGAAUCCAGACCUACAUUUUGUUGUUUUAGUUUAAAGAAUGAUGGCGAAAAUAAUAACAGGUAUUGCAUUAAUCUUCUCCUGUUUCUAAUUAUUUGGAGCAUGCCACUACCAAGCCCGUUUUAACCUCCAUUCUCUCUGCCUCUAUUAUAUCAAAGGACAAAAGCAUCAGAUCUCGAAACACACAGGCGAUGAAACACAAUAGAUGCCCGAUGUGGUUCAAGAUUUCCAUCAUGGCCUAAGAAUAAUUUGCCGGCUUUAAUCUACCUUUUGAACCAUUCAAGAUGAAGAAGAAUGUCUCGUUUUUCUGUAAAUUUCACUUCUAAUCGUUGAGGGAAUAUUCGCUUUGUAAAUUCGAACCCUCUGUGCAUGGCCAGCUGAGAAGAAAUGGUGACCAAAGCCGGCAGCAUUUGCAAAACGGGCAGGGAGGUCGCCACAUGUUUUCCCCUAUUGCGUAUUCGCAAGACAGUGGAAACUCCCAAAUUGUCGCACCCCAUCAAGAUUUCACAUUUCAAAUAACAUGGUGUUUUUAAAAGGUUCCUGACUGCAUCAAAUUGUUAUUUUUUAGUUGGAGUGGUGAAGAAGAAAGUGCCCCAACCCUUUUCUGUUGGAACAGUAGCUCUAAUGUAUCGAGACAUCUUGGGUGAAAGUUUUUCCAAGGUUGGUUGGUGUCUGAG
rnacentral:lncRNA from 1 species